rnacentral:lncRNA from 1 species
CCACUCGGGGGGUUUCCCAAGACUUCCUGCAUCACCACCACCGCCAACCUCUGCUGCUACUGCUGAAGGUGGUGAGGCCAGCUCGCAGCCAAACAGCUCUGGUGCUAGCAAUGAAAACUUCAGUCGAGUCAUUGCCUUGGUUCGACAUUUCAUACGCAGCCGGGAGCUUCUCGAAUGGAGUGGGCAAGAGGUGGACAUGCACUUGGCCAAGCAGAUAGUGCUUUCCCUAGAGUUUUCCACCCA